rnacentral:other from 1 species
CAAAAGAGUGACAGCGAGAGCAACAUCAAAGAUACCUUGGAGCAGCAUCGACAACAACAGCAGACGUUUUCAGAUAUGAGUCACGUGGAAUAUUCAAGAAUUACA